AGAAUCAACGCUGGCGGCGUGCCUAACACAUGCAAGUCGAACGAGAAAGUGGAGCAAUCCACAAGUAAAGUGGCGCACGGGUGAGUAACACGUGACUAACCUACCCUUGAGUGGGGGAUAACCUAGAGAAAUCUGGGCUAAUACCGCAUAAUACCUUCGGGUCAAAGGAGCAAUUCGCUUAAGGAGGGGGUCGCGGCCGAUUAGUUAGUUGGCGGGGUAAUGGCCCACCAAGACUAUGAUCGGUAUCCGGCCUGAGAGGGCGCACGGACACACUGGAACUGAAACACGGUCCAGACUCCUACGGGAGGCAGCAGUGGGGAAUUUUGCGCAAUGGGGGAAACCCUGACGCAGCAACGCCGCGUGGAGGAUGAAGCCCCUUGGGGCGUAAACUCCUUUCGAUCGGGACGAUAAUGACGGUACCGAGAGAAGAAGCCCCGGCUAACUUCGUGCCAGCAGCCGC
rnacentral:rRNA from 1 species